rnacentral:lncRNA from 10 species
CCACCUCUUCUGGCAAGUUGGACCUAUGAGUGCGCAGCUCCGCUUACAACUAUCAACAGCCGGGAAGGCUGAGCGCGUGUGAGCGCCGAGGGGGGCGCAGGACCCUCGCAACUUCUUCGCAGGACUCCAGCCUGGCCGCCGGCGCCCGCAGCCGUCCGAGAGCCCUGCGCCCGCGCCUCCCCUUGCGCACCGUGGCAGCGCCCGGCGGGCGGUCCUGCCAGCCCCGACGGGAUGCCCGCAGCCAUGCUCCCCUACGCUUGCGUCCUGGUGCUUUUGGGAGCCCACACUGCACCGGCGGCUGGGGAGGCCGGGGGCAGCUGCCUGCGCUGGGAACCCCACUGCCAGCAGCCCUUGCCAGAUAGAGUGCCCAGCACUGCGAUCCUGCCUCCACGCCUUAAUGGACCUUGGAUCUCCACAGGGUAAGACUUCAGGUCAUCCUGACCAUGGACCCCUGGACUGGGAGACUUCUGCCUCUGGGACUCGGCAUCCAAUCUUUGAAAUGGGCAUAAUUCACAUAGUUAUCCAAGAGGCCUUCUACCUGCCAAGCUGCUGGAGAUGCUUGCCUCCCCUCCCAGAGUGCAAUGGGAGGCAGGGACUCUGUUGGGCAUCACGUCCAUGGUCAAAAUCCAUUCAACACCUUGAACACCUAUUAUACAAACCUAUUACGAGCUAAGUGCCAGGGGUCAGCAGUGGGACAUGCGCUCAACAUGCGAACACACAAAUGAAUAAUAUAAACUUGAGAUUGCACUAAGUUCUUCAAUGAAGGAAAUAAAACCAAAGAUGUGA